rnacentral:rRNA from 1 species
UUCGAUGGAUAGGGGUUCUGAGAGGAAGGUCCCCCACAUUGGAACUGAGACACGGUCCAAACUCCUACGGGAGGCAGCAGUGAGGAAUAUUGGUCAAUGGGCGUUAGCCUGAACCAGCCAAGUAGCGUGAAGGAUGAAGGCUCUAUGGGUCGUAAACUUCUUUUAUAUAAGAAUAAAGUGCAGUAUGUAUACUGUUUUGUAUGUAUU